UUUUGUCAUUGCAAGUUUUAACAUAGUUGCCAUAUAUCUAAGGUAUUUAGAAUGCCUAUGCUAGGCACAAUACCUAUAGUAGGUAAAAUUCCUAUAGUCCAUUAUAUUUCUUCUUUUUUUUUUUUUUAUUCUGCUUAUGUUUUAUUUUAAUAUUUUGAAUCGCUACAACUGAUAACAUUAACGUAGCAUUUUUUUUUUAAUUUUUAUACGUUUGUACAUUUCUUUUUUUUAAAUAUUUGAUUAUUUUUGCAAGUAUACAUGUUACUUAUAGUAUGUAUAAUAUUUAUUAAUUUAUUUAUAAUUUUAUAUAGUUAUUAACUCAUGUAAUUAUUAACUUACAUUUGUCUCUAUCUCUCUCUCUCUCUCUCUCUCUCUUUAUAUAUAUAUAUAUAUAUAUACAUGUUUAUUGCUCAUCUAAUCAAAUUAACAAGUAUAAAAAAUAAGGAUACCUUUUCCUUUUACUUAUUAUUAUUUAUUUGCUUUUUUAUACUAUGAGUUAAAAUUGUAUAACUAACCAUAGCAGUAUGACAUAUUUUGAAGUUUACACUGAAAGAUUGAACAUGCGGGUACCCAACAAAGGCCAAGGUGGCAUGUUGGUAAAAAAAAAGCUUUUAAAUAAUACUUACAGUAGUAAUAAAAUUAUAUACAAAAAGUAUAUAUCAUUUUAUGAAAUAUUUGCCUUUCUACUAAUUUUAUUUAUAAAUAUAAUACCUAAUGAUAAUAAAGACAUUUUUUUCUUCGAAGAAAGACAUAAUAAAAACUUUUUUUUAAGGUUGUUAGUGAGUUAUGAUAAAACAUAUGAUGAUUUAAACAAUUGUAAACACUUGAUCGAUUCGAAAAAAAAAAUAAUGCUUAUGGAAAACAAAAGUAAACAUACAAACCAGGAGGAUUGUUCUGAUUGUGAAAACGCGUGUAAUGAAAGUGUUGGUAAUAUAUGCAAUAUUAAUGAAAAAAAUAAUUUAAAAGAUCAGAAAAACAAUAACAAAAUAAAAAAACAGUCUUAUAAUGUAAAUAAUGUUAAGCUAGAUAGACAAAACACUAAAAAAAUAGUAGAUAUCAAAAAAGUGGUUGUUAACCCUAAUGUGGAGAAGGUUCAUGCUAAAUCUUGUGAAAAUUUUUUAAAUGAAAAAAAAAAAUACUUUUCAGAAAAAAUGAAUAUUUUAAAUAGUAUUAACAAGUAUACAUGGAACGAUUUAUAUAAGGGUGAUAAAACAAAACAUAUUCAUAUACUGUGGAAACAAAACAUGUGGCGUGAGUGGAAUUAUUAUAUCAGCAUGAUAAAGAUUAAAGAUGAUAUACAAGACAUGUAUUAUUUUAAUGAAAAAAUAAAGAGUGGUUACCCAUAUGACAAAGUCAAAAGUAAAUUAAAGAAAAAACUGAAUUCAAAAAAAUUCAUAAUAUUAAAAGAUUGGGAGAAGUUUUUGGAAAUACAUUUGAAAGAAUGGGAGACAUAUAAAAAAAUGGAUACAUAAAAAUAUAUAUACUCAUGAGUCAUUUAUUUGUUCAUGUUUAUAUUUAUAUAUUUUUUUUUUUGUAACCUUUUAUACAAAGGCAAAUCAUGUUUCACAUAUUUAUGUUCACACACAAAAAAUACAAGCGCACGUAGACUUAUAAACCAGUUUUUGUGUUUUUUUGAAAGAACCGUCAUGUUUAUUUUUUUUUCAAAUAGAUUGAUAAAUAUUCGUAGUGCAUAAAAUUAAAAAAAAAAAAAAAAAAAAAAAAUGCAUGCUUAGUUUUGUAUAUUAUGUACUUCCAUUUUAGAACUGUUCGUUUUUUUUUAUAUGUUACAAUAGUAAUAAAAAAUAAAUAAGUAAAAAAAACA
rnacentral:lncRNA from 1 species